rnacentral:rRNA from 1 species
AUGUUUCUCGUUUAUGGAGGUGAAAAAGAACUCAUCAUAAACGGUUACGUCGAUGCAAGCUUUGACACUGAUCCGGAUGACUCUAAGUCGCAAACCGGAUACGUUUUUUUAUUGAAUGGAGGAGCUGUCAGUUGGUGCAGUUCCAAGCAGAGCAUCGUCGUGGGAUCUACGUGUGAAGCAAAGUACAUUGCUGCUUCGGAAGCAGCAAAUGAAGGAGUUUGGAUGAAGGAGUUCAUAUCCGAUCUAGGUGUCAUACCUAGUGCAUCGGGUCCAAUGAAAAUCUUUUGUGACAAUACUGGUGCAAUUGCCUUGGCAAAGGAAUCCAAAUUUCACAAGAGAACCAAGCACAUCAAGAGACGCUUCAAUUCCAUCUGUCAUCAAGUGUCAAAAGGGGACAUAGAGAUUUGCAAGAAGCACACGGAUCUGAAUGUUGCAGACCCGUUGACUAAGCCACUUCCACGAGCAAAACAUGAUCAGCACCAAAGCUCCAUGGGUGUUAUUAUCAUUACUAUGUAA